rnacentral:rRNA from 1 species
UGGGGAAUAUUGGACAAUGGGCGAAAGCCUGAUCCAGCCAUGCCGCGUGAGUGAUGAAGGCCCUAGGGUUGUAAAGCUCUUUUGUGCGGGAAGAUAAUGACGGUACCAGAGGAAUAAGCACCGGCUAACUCCGUGCCAGCAGCCGCGGUAAUACGGAGGGUGCGAGCGUUAUCCGGAUUUACUGGGUUUAAAGGGUGCGUAGGUGGGCUUAUAAGUCAGUGGUGAAAUCUCCGAGCUUAACUUGGAAACUGCCGUUGAUACUAUAGGUCUUGAAUUAUCUGGAGGUAAGCGGAAUAUGUCAUGUAGCGGUGAAAUGCUUAGAUAUGACAUAGAACACCAAUUGCGAAGGCAGCUUACUACAUAUAAAUUGACGCUGAGGCACGAAAGCGUGGGGAUCAAACA